AAUAAUUGCUUCUAAAGGUGGAGUAUUAAUGAGGAAGAAACAAAUUCAUUAAAUUUUUUUAACUUUUGCACAUAACUGUAUUUGUUCAAAUUUCUCUUAGACGCUCCUCCCCCAUAAAAACAAAACUUGGAGGGUAAGUAGAAGGACAAUUUGGUCUUAUUAGAACAAUUUUUCAACAUUAUAUAUCCCUUCUCUUCAUUCAUCUUCCUUCACCACUAAACAACCAUCCCAUGUCCAAUCUUCAUUUCCUUUUUAUUUGUUUGCAUUGAUUUAUUGAGCCUGAAAAUGGUAAAAUCAUUUAAUUAGAUCCCCAUCCACAAUCAAUCUUUUAGUGAACCAUGAAUAUAUGAACAAAGCAUCAGGCAAAGAACAAUUACUUGGUGUAAUUUAAUAUGUUACUUUGUUUGAGAUUUAUGUUUAGUAACUAUUUUUGUUUUGAUUUUUUUAUAGGUGAGCCUCACUUCUUUCAAGGAUCUUACUUGUGUUUCACAAAGGAUCUCAAAAUUUUGAGUUGAGGCCCUCAAAAUUUUGAGGCCCGAUGUCGUCGCACUUCCCGCACAUGUGUGCAGGCCGACUCUGGCUAUAGGUCAAAAGUCAAUUAUGAUGACCAUCGAAGUUCUGGAGACUAGUGUGCUUAUGAGAAGAGUUAACAAAAGUUAAAGUUCUGAGGAAGACACUUCAAGAGAAUCAGCAACUUCUACAUCUGAAGAACAAGUUCUGAAGACUGGUUAAGUAGAAGACAAGUUCUGAAGCUGAAACAAAAUCCUGAAGUGACAGUGAGAAGUACUGUAUUUCUCUGAAGAGUCUGCUCAUAAGACGGACACAUUUGUCCUCUUGCUCAAGAAUUUCAACAUCCUUGACCUGCUCCAAGCAUUUUGUCUCCGUUGCAUUAAAUGCACACAACAAGCAUGCUCACAAUCAACGAUGUUCAAAGAGUUCAUUUCCAAGAAAGCUACAACGGAUCAUUCAUAGUACUGCAAAUAAUAUGUUUAUUAAGUAGAUGGCUUGAUCAAAAGAAGAAAGGUUUUCAACUUUCAAGUUAGCUUGCAACGGAUCUUAGUAAUUAUAUAUAGUGAAUAAAUUCUAAUGUGGCCUUAGUUAACAGGUGAACCACUAUAAAA